CUGGCAGGAAUGUGGUGCCCUGAGAAUGGCAAACGCGAAAUAGCUCUGUGGUUCAAAGAAGGAGAAUUAUGCGAAUCGACACCAGCUCAAGAACCGUGGUUGAUAGAAUAGCACCCUGCCAUAAUCGGUUUUGCAAUUCCAAUCAAGGCGAGAUGCAGUGAUUUGUUCGUUUUUGGUUGAGAGAUUUUACGUGUCUGUCUGUAAACCUUAGAGAUUUAUUCACUUUUGGCUGGAGAUAUUUUAGUUUGUUUCAAACUGACAAUACACCAUUUCCUCUCAAUAAA